rnacentral:rRNA from 1 species
AUACGGAGGGUGCAAGCGUUGUUCGGAAUUAUUGGGCGUAAAGCGCGUGUAGGCGGUUUAUCAAGUCAGGGGUGAAAGGCUACGGCUCAACCGUAGUGAGCCUCUGAAACUGGGAGACUUGAGUACGGGAGAGGAGAGUGGAAUUCCUAGUGUAGGAGUGAAAUCCGUAGAUAUUAGGAGGAACACCGGUGGCGAAGGCGGCUCUCUGGGCCGAUACUGACGCUGAGACGCGAAAGCGUGGGUAGC